GACAGUUCGGUCCCUAUCUGUCGCGGGCGUUGGAAAUUUGAAGGGAGCUGUCCUUAGUACGAGAGGACCGGGAUGGACGCUCCAAUGGUGCACCAGUUGGUCUGCCAAGGCCAUAGCUGGGUAGCUAAGAGCGGAAGGGAUAAACGCUGAAAGCAUCUAAGCGUGAAGCCCCCCCUAAGAUGAGAUUUCCCAUUCGCAAGAAGUAAGACCCCUCAAAGAUGAUGAGGUUGAUAGGCCAGAGGUGUACGCACGGUGACGUGUUCAGCUGACUGGUACUAAUCGGUCGAGGACUUAACUUU
rnacentral:rRNA from 1 species